rnacentral:rRNA from 1 species
AUGACGUCCGUUUUCCACAGUCCAAGCAUGUUAUUUCCGCCUGUUGCUGCUUGCGACCGCCUAGCGAGCAAUUCAUUUCAGUUGGGUAUUGUGUUCCGCGUGACAACCAGAUCUUGCCUGUCUGCCUUGCUUCAAAAGCAAGCAGGGCUCCCUUCAAAAUCAUCAAAAGAAAAAAAAAUCAAGCAAAGGCAACGGGAGCCAGACUGUCCUCGGUUCAGUAACCGCCAAAUCAAGCAACACGGAGAGAAAGGAAAGCUCCCAAUGCACACAAGGACCUCACUGUCAAUUACAACAAAUCAAAGGUCCAAACGACAAUUAGUUCCGGAGAAAACAAGUCAUGAGCACGCCAUGUCAUGGCACAUCAUCAUCAUAAUCUAA